UACGGGGGGGGCUAGCGUUGUUCGGAAUUACUGGGCGUAAAGGGCGCGUAGGCGGUCUACUAAGUUGGAUGUGAAAACUCUGGGCUUAACCCAGAGCCUGCAUUCAAAACUGAUAGGCUAGAGUUCUGGAGGGGAUAGCGGAAUUCCUGGUGUAGCGGUGAAAUGCGUAGAUAUCAGGAGGAACACCGGUGGCGAAGGCGGCUAUCUGGACAGAAACUGACGCUGAGGCGCGAAAGCUAGGGGAGCAAACAGG
rnacentral:rRNA from 1 species